rnacentral:tRNA from 1 species
CAAAACGUGCGCUAAGCAUGUAGAAGCCAAGGCCUAGGGCCUUCGGACGGGGGUUCGAUUCCCCCCGCCUCCACCA